CCCAUGUCCUGUCUCAUGAUAGAGUUCUCAUGAGAUCUGGUUGUUUGAAAGCGUGUAGCACCUCCCACUUUGCUCUCCCUCUCUCUCCUGCAGCCAUGUGAAGACAUACUUGCUUCUCCUUCACCUUCUGCCGUGAUUAUAUGUUUCCUGAAACUUCCCCAACCAUCCCUCCUGUACAGCCUGUGGAACUGGUCUCACUCUGUUGCCCAGGCUGGAGUGCACUGGCUCAAUCAUCGCUCACUACAGCCUCCACCUCCCAGGUUCAAGGAAUCCUCCUGCCUCAGCCUCCUUAGUAGCUGGGACCAGAGGUGUGCACCAUCACACCCAACUUUUUUUUUUUUUUAAUACAGAGAUGGGGUCCCACCAUGUUUCCUAGGCUGGUCUCAAACUCUUGGACUCAAGAGAUCUGCUCAUCUCAACCUCCCAAACAGCUGGGAUUACAGGCAUGAGCCACUACAUCCACCCUAAACGUUUUUAAAAAUAUUUUUAUCACUAGGGAAUAAUUAAGGAAGACAAUAGCACAUUGUCUGUAAAAAAAAAAAAAAAUGUGACUGAGAAAAUGAGACCCAGACAAGAUGCCAUUUCAGUAUAAAGGCCAAGGCACAAUCCCAAACAUGAAAACACGACAAGGAAUGUAACACCCGUGAGUGCUUCUUGGGAGAAAAAAGCCUGCUUGUUUUAAAAUCUAACCUGUAAGGAGAAUGAAUCACAUGAAAAACUCAAGAAUGGAGAGAGCACUGUAGAAAGACUUAGAAUACUGAAUCCAUUUAAAUGUAGAAUUAUGGCAUUAAAGAGAGAAAACAGUGAAAUUGUGACUUCAAAAUAAAAUAUACAUGUUAUAAACUUGAACAAUAUCCUCAUCAUCACAACAUUUUCUUUCUUUCUUUUUUUUUGAGACAGAGUCUCCCUCUGUCACCCAGGCUGGAGUGCAGUGGCGCCAUCUUAGCUCAUUGCAAACCCUCCCUCUCAGGUUCAAGCGAUUCUCUGGCCUCAGCCUCCCAAGUAACUGGGAUUACAGGUGCUCGCCAUCACACCCGGCUAAUUUUUGUAUUUUUUUUAGUAGAGACUGGGUUUCACCAUGUUGGCCAGGCUGGUCUCUAACUCCUGACCUCUGGUGAUCCACCCACCUCGGCCUCCCAAAGUGCUGGGAUUACAGGUGUGAGCCACUGCGCCUGGCCCACAACAUUUUUUUAAUGAAAAAUAAGAGAUGAGUUUUCAUAUCUGGCCAUGUGGCAGCGACUGAUAUUCAAUGGGUACUCACCUGCUUUAAAGAACUGUAAAAGUGGGCAAAAUAGACAAUACAACUGUUUCCAGGAAUUAGACCCCAAGGGACACAGGGCUGAUCCUUGAGAGCCGGGAAACCCACAGGUGACCCCACAACCACCCCUGGGGGCACUCUCUGGACCCCAGUAAGGAGAUGAAGAGAUGUGGUCUCGCUGAGCUGGGAAGGAAGAGCUCAGAGAAGAUGGAGGCUGCUGAAGUCACUGGAAUUUGCGGGGGCAGGGAACUGGAGAGGAGAAGCUGCCCAGAAGAGGAGCCCAGGACUGUAGGUGGGGGUCUUCUGGGGGAGGGCUGGACAGGGUAAGACUCAGAAGGCCCAGCAAUGAGAAGCGCUGUGCAGCUGACAGCUGCCUGGAGACCCCAGGAGCCUGCUGGGGCUGAAGGAUGCUGGCCUUCCCAUGACGUGGAGUGGACGGGUCUUGCUAAACCCCCGGGGUGUCCAGCUCAACCCCAGCAAGGAGGAAACCUAAAGAGAAGAUAAGGUGGGCAUGGGACACUCAGACAUGAAAUCAGGAACAGUCUAAAGUCGGAACUAGUAAAACCUAUAUCGAUUCCAGGACAAAACCAAAAUCAGGGCAAGGAGACAAACAGUUUCAUCAUUAAAUAAAAAACCAACUUAGAGGAAGCAACUUGUACCCUAAUGCCCAGCUGGAAGAUGCUUUCAGACAUGUACUCUUAAUUCAACCUGUGUCAACACAAAAUGAAAGGCAUUUUUCUCCCACUACAGUAUUCCCCAUGAAACAAAGAUCAAGAUUAUCGUGUAGGGCAAUUAAUGCUGUGUUUAAACGUCUCCUUUUGAGAAUAAUGCUUUAGUGUUUGUGAAAGUGUCUUUCAACUUUUAAUGACUUUUAUUUGUUGUUUAUUUGGUGUUAAUCUUCUCUUUUAGUUUUCUGUUAUCAAAUGUCUUUAUCACGUAGAGAUUAUUUUUAUGUUAUUGAAAUAAUCUAUAAGUACCAUACAUUUUCUCAUAACAACAAUUAUGAUUAUUAUUUUAAAUAGAAACAGAAAACUUUUGAAACAUUUAUGAUAACCCUGACACAGGAACAUGAUUCACUGUUUCUUUUUUUUUUUUUUUUUUUGAGACGGAGUUUUACUCUCAUUUCCCAGGCUGGAGUGCAGUUGCGCGAUCUCUGCUCACUGCAGCUUCCACCUCCCAGGUUCAAGCGAUUCUUCCCGCCUGUCUCCCAAGUAGCUGGGAUUACAGACGUGCGCAGCCACCCCACCCGGCUAAUUUUUUUGUAUUUUUACAAGAGACAGGGUUUCACCAUGUUGGCUAGGCUGGUCUCAAAUUCCUAACCUCAGGUGAUCUGCCCACCUUGGCCUCCCAAAGUGCUGGGAUUAUAGGCGUGAGCCACCAAGCCCAACCUCAUUAUUUCUUAUUAUGGUCACUCUGUUAUCAUUUAAAAACAUGUAAAUCGGUGGGGUUUUUUUUGUUUUGUUUUGUUUUGAGACAGGAUCUUGCACUGUCGCCCAGGCUGAAGAAAUCAUAGUGAUGAAAUCAUAGCUCACUGCAGCCUGGAUCUCCUGGGCUCAAGUGAUCCUCCCACCUCAGCCUCCUGAGUAGCUGGGACUACGGGUUCACAUCACUACACUUGGCUAAUUUUUUGACUUUUAGUAGAGACAAAGUCUCACUAUGUUGCCCAGGCUGGUCUUGAACUCCCCCACCUCAGCCUCCCAAAGUGCUGGGAUUACAGGCAUGAGCCACUGCACCCAGCAUAAUAGUAUUAUAAAAAUACAGAACAAUUUAUAAGUUUUGAGACAUCCCAAAAAAUCCUGGGAACUAUGAUUUGUUCCUGAAUCCCAAAGAUUAAUAUAGAACUUUUUUGACUGGUGAGCAUGUUCUUCAAACUCUAGCUCACAUGUCCUAUCUUCUUUAAAAAAACUUUCUGUAUUAGCCAAGGCUGAUGGUUGCAAAUGCCAAAAAUCUAAUACAGUGGGCAAAGGGGUACUUUAUUGAUUCAUGUAACUGGGAGUGGUUGUAGCUUCAGGCACAAGAGGACCCAGAGGUUCAGAGUGUCAUGGCCUCUCUCUCUCUCUCUCUCUCUCUCUCUCCAGUUUCUCCUCUGACUUAGAUUUAGUUUUCCUCCACCUAAAGCUAAAGUUAGUCACACUGGGAGCUCCAGAUGUGUGUUAUCCUUAAGUCUCAUGAUCCCAGACAAAGAGAGAGUGAACGCUUCUCUAAUAGGUUUGGUGAAAGUCCCCAGGAGCUUUUGGAUUGCCCCAGCAUGUGCCCCAUGCACAUCCCUGAGCCCGUGACUGUCAGCAGGAAGACAGAAUACCCUCAUGGCCAACCUUGGACCACCUGCCCUCCUCUGGGAUCAGUCCUACCUGACUCCAUGGAAUAGAUCCCCCAUAAGAAAGAUGGAUUCUAUGUGAAGAAGGCAGGGCUGUGAUGCUGGGUACUGGGAAGUGACAGAUGUCCCCCUCACCCUCCAUUGUUUUCUCCUUCCCCGAAGAAUCAGUACCUCCCUCACUUGCAUGCCCAUGGCUUUGGAUUCUUCCUGUGUUGUAUUUCUUCUCACAGCACACUCUUGUAGGCACAUCCAUCUCACAGAUCCAUCCAUCCGUGAGUUCCUCCAGGAACUGGUCUUGCUCCUGUGGCACUCCAGCACCUAGCAUGUACCUGGCAUGUAGUAGGUACUCCAUAGCUAAUAUUUAUUGGAAUUUAUUACCUGUCAUGCACUAUUCAAAGUUGUAUAUGAACUAGUUUACUCUUCACAGUAAUACGAUGAGGUAGAUAUUAUUGUCCUUCAUUAAAUAUUUAUUGACUAAGUUAAUGAAAGUAAGCCAUGAUUUAAAGAAGCUACCCACUGAACCCCAUGAUAGAAUUCAAGGGCUGUCUACCAUAGUUGAAAAGACUUCUCUCUGUCAAAGGGAACUAUUGUCUUGUGACUACUUCCCUGAAGGUAGCAUGUCUGACCACAUAACAAGGGUGGGAUGACCUCCACCAAAGAGGCUGGGCCAAUGCUAAUGAUGCAGGCCGGAGGCAGAGGGCACCAGCCACCAGGCACUCCUUGCCACCCCCAUAGCAGGGACAUCAUAAAAUGUCUGGGUUUCCCCGGAGGCCAGCAAACAAAGGAACAACUGCCUUUUGGAGUAAGUAAUCCUGAUACUGCAUGUAGUCCAAGGCACACAGAAGGAAUCCCUCUGGCAGAUAAACCGUAGAGUUGCACAGCAAGAGGGACCUUACAAAUGAUCUAAGACUGUGCUUUUGUUUUCAGGAUGAGGAAACAGAAGCCUGUAAAGGUGAAAGGAAUUGUCCAAGGUCCCGUGGUUAGUACAGAAACUAGAAACUGGAAGUAGAACCCAGAUCGCUUUCUGAGUCCCCUGAGACUUUGCAUAUGCUGAAUGAUUAUAAAUGAUUAUAAAUAAGUCUUUGUUUGUUUGUUUUUUGAGACGGAGUCUCCUGCAGCAGCACUCUGUAACCUAUCUCGGCUCACUGCAACCUCCACCUCCCAGGCUCAAGCGAUUCUCCUGCCUCAGCUUCCCGAGUAGCUGGGAUUACAGGCAUGUGCCACCAUGCCCAGCUAAUUUUUGUAUUUUUAGUAGAGACAGGGUUUCACCAUGUUGGCCAGGCUACCCUCGAACUCCUGGCCUCAAGUGAUCUGCCACCUUCAGCCUCCCACAGUGCUGGGAUUACAGCCAUGAGCCACUGCACCCGGCCAUAAAUAAAUCUUAAAUCUGAUUGAAGGACCCAACUUCAAUACUUGGAGGUGAUGUCAUUAACCUUAGCAGGGGUUAGUGUCCAAGACUGCCAUUGCCAGCUACGUGACCUUGGGAAAGUCCCUCAGUGCCUCCAUUUCCCUGUUGACAGACAGGGCAUGACUGUGCCGAGCACAUGGAAUUGUUGUGACAGCAAAUGAAAUCAUCUCUGCGAUGUGUGGGAGGCUGAGCUGAGUGCUGGGCAAGUGCUCACCGCACAUUCCUGGUCAUUGUUGUUGUUAUCGUGGCAGGAGGAUUUCAUUGAGUUUGGAGCCCUUCCCAGGGUAACAAAGCAAGGAGUCAUUUAAGAUUAAUGUUGCUCUUUUAUGAUCUAGAUAGGCCCUUGGGCAGAGCAAGAAGAAACCAAAGCUGCUUCUCACCAGCCAUGUGGGCUCACUGGCUAGGAGAGCUGAUUGGGCUCCUUUUUAAACUUGGAAAAUAAUUCCUCUUUAAAUAUGGUUUUGGACAAUAAAAAUGAAACAUAUGUACCUGUAAAAAAUGA
rnacentral:lncRNA from 1 species